rnacentral:sRNA from 1 species
CAUACAAAAUGUUAUACCAUCCUCUAUUCAUUGGUCUAUGUUAAUGACAUAAUCAUCACAUGAAACAAUUUGGAUGCAUUUGAAAAUAUUUUACAAAAUCUAGCUAUCAGUUUUCACUUAAAGACUUGGGUGAGUAAAUAUUGAAGAAUAACUUACAAAUUGAUUCUAUCAAUCACAAAUCGCAAACCUGAAUGCUUUCGGUUGAACAAAUCUCGUGCAGUUACUAGUGUUCCUCCUCUACCAAAAUGACCAAGAUGAUAUAGCAUCCUACGAUAUGAACUAAGAAACCCAGUCUUGGUGGGAUAUCCGAAAUCAACAAGAUAGUACUUCCCACUAGGCGGAUGUGGGAAAAAGGUUCAUUCCUCGCACAAUGAUUCAAAACUUUUGUAUCAUGUGCUCUACAAGAUAUACUGACAUAUGCAUAUAUGAAUUUCAUAUCGAAGUUACAUAUAGCAAGAACAUUCAUUAUAUGUUCUAUCUUUCUAUAUUUAUAUUUUUCUACAGAUUGACUUAGACGGCGAACCGGGACAUAAGUUCCAUCAAGUGCUCCAACACAAUCUCUAAAAACAGGCCAAUAUCAAUCAUCAUUCUUCUAAACAGGGUUUACUCUCGUAAAUUCACCUUCUUGUGGCUUUAGUGUAUCCACUACAAACUUUAAAAGAGCACUCAAAACAUCAUCAAUCUUUUUUUUUUUUACCGUAUUCAAUGACCGUUGAUAUCUUGUAACUAUAUCUCAAACAGUUUUAUCCUGACCAACCACCUCGAAAAGUAUUAGUGAUUUCUACCUAUAUAGUGAAGAAGACCGUAAGUAUUAGUUCCAAACAUUUAGACCCAUUAUAUAGAAACAGACAUAGAAUUUGGAAAUUUUGAAUAAACCGAUCAAGCUGAGAGUAACUAAGAGAACACAAAUAAAUAAGAAACUCAAAAUAUUUAAGAGAUUUCAGUCAGUGAAUAACGAAAGUACCUCGGAGUAGAGAUUCAACGUUGUAUUAGAAGUAACCAACGACGGGAGAUCUAGUUGAGCUCAAGUCACCGGAUAAUAUUUCGCAAGAUUGCGGCGGCGGAGAGAGAUUGGUUUCAAAGAGUUUGAGAUCGAUGAGUGUAAGAGAGAAAUGAUGAAAAAGAAGUAGAAGAAAUAGAGUUAGGUUUGUUUGUAGUUUCUCAAACAUAAUAAGGGUAUAAUUGUCAUUUAUCAUAUAUAAUACAACUUUUAAGCGUUGACCGCAGCAUUAUGCCGCACUUACUUGCAUCUGCCGCUGUU